UACGAAUGGAGCGAGCGUUGUUCGGAAUCACUGGGCGUAAAGGGUGCGCAGGCGGUCAUGAAAGUCAGAAGUGAAAUCCCAGGGCUUAACCCUGGAAUUGCUUUUGAAACUCCAUGACUUGAGUAUUGGAGAGGUUAGCGGAAUUCCGAGUGUAGCAGUGAAAUGCGUAGAUAUUCGGAGGAACACCAAUGGCGUAGGCAGCUAACUGGACAAUUACUGACGCUCAUGCACGAAAGCGUGGGGAUCAAACAGG
rnacentral:rRNA from 1 species